rnacentral:rRNA from 1 species
AUACGGAGGGUGCGAGCGUUGUUCGGAAUCACUGGGCGUAAAGGGCGCGUAGGCGGCCUGCUAAGUCUGGUGUGAAAGCCCUCCGCUCAACGGAGGAAGGGCACUGGAAACUGGCAGGCUCGAGUCCCGGAGAGGAGGGUGGAAUUCCCGGUGUAGCGGUGAAAUGCGUAGAUAUCGGGAAGAACACCCGUGGCGAAGGCGGUCCUCUGGACGGUGACUGACGCUGAGGCGCGAAAGCGUGGGGAGCAAACAGGAGUAGAUACCCCGGUAGUCC